GCCUACCCCAUUCAGCCCACCUCACCUCGCCUCAUCACAUGGGCAUUUUAUCAUUUCACAGCAUCACAGGAAGGUGUAGUGAUGCCAGGCCAAGAACUAUGGCUCAAAUACCACCUCAUUUCAGCCUGUUUUCGGCAAAACAGCCUCAGGACUUCUCAUUGAAUGAACAAGUUGCCUUGCUACUCAGCCCUGCUGCUUUGCUGAUGCUGACAAAGGAACACCCUACCCUUCAAUCCUUGCCACCUUCAUCCACUCAUUCCAAGAAUCUUGCUGGUAAUGUCAAGUCUGCUCAAGCUAGAGGUACUGAAGAAAUACUCAGUGAUUCAUAAUUGUUGAAAAAACCACAUUGGACUGUGAGAUCAAAAAACAGAUGUCUCUGAAGAAAGAGGGUAAUUUGAAAGAAAUGGAACAAUUCAUAAUGUGGAUGUGGAAGUGGAGGGGAACAGCACAAAGACAUGGAAGGAAUAGCAAAAUGAAAUGUUUAACAAGUAAUGGAAAGCAGGAAUAUUACAAUAGUAGACUGCUUUGGGCAGUCGACUGGAUGGGUCCUUCCUGGCCUGCGACCUUGUCAUUGGUUCAGCAAUGUCUGCUUGUGUCUACUACUGGGCAGAAAAUUAUCUGAAGGUAAAUGUCGUGACUCCCUUGUUCAAGGUCAUAGCAGGAAUUCUGUCACUUUGUUUGGACUCCUGGCCAGGCAUGCAUCUCCACCUGCCCCCUCAACUGCCUUACCACCGGCUGCGUGGCCAUGCCACCCACAGGCAGAGAUGUCACAGCUAAGCACCGAUGAGGAGGAUUCUUUGGACUGGAAUAUACUGGCCCCAUAAGGUGUUCUCCAGGCAUUCAGAAGGUUGUCUUUCCCAGUGCUUACGAACCAUUUGCCACAAUGGGCAAACUUGAGCGACAGUACACAGCUCUCAUGGAGAUGCAGCUGAUAUUUAUCUGGCUUGGUGACAUGUAGCAUUUCCACGUUACUGUCCUCCCUUCCCACUGCCAGCCACUCUCCGGUUGGGCAGAAGCCCAGAGAGAAGAUCUGUGUGUGAGGUGUCCUUGCUGUUGAAUUGUGAAUACUCGGUAAGAACCUGUGAUACCAAAUCUUCAGCUCUCUACUUGGAAGAACAUGGAAUAACCAUACUUAACAGUGACGAAUUCUUUAAUUAAGUAUUAUAUCUGUAAUAUAUUUAUUUUGUUUAAAGAAGGCUUUUUAACUUUGAAUAAAGCUGUCUGCUCCUGCACUGAUAAUGAAGAUGCAUUGUAUCUGAUACCCCUCCCCCCCCCUUUGUUGGCAAAGGAGGGGAAAGGAAAGUUUAAAAUAAUUGAUGAAAAAUGUCACUAAAUGUAGACUAAGGACUGUAUAGAGAUGUGAAAUGUAUAAUUACAUAUGGAAACAAUAUGUUGCUGUGUUGUUAGAUUUUUUUGUUUUCUACUUAUUUUAAAUGUUUGAAGAUUUGAACAAUUAGAACAUGACAGGCCACAUCAUAUUCAUUUGAGUCUAUUUGGAGAACUUUAACCAAUAUAUCUAUAGCUUUAGAUUCUAUUUGAUAAAAGUAAUUGGACUUUUUUCUUUUUUCUUUUUUGACUGGUCGACAAGUGUCUUUGUAAUAAGUUUUUAAUUCCUUUUUUUAUUGUAUUAUAGACAGAUGAACAAAUUAAAUUUGGCCUAAAGAGAGAACUUAAUCCCUUCUGGAUAUUUUUGCCAUGUUUCUUUGCAAAGGGAGAUGUAUACCUUUGGGCAGUUUUGUCAUUACGAGAAAUUACAGGCUAUUUUUUGGCAUGUUCUUUGGGAACUGCACAGAUUCAGGGGAGGAUUCCUCCUGCUGUGCAAGUCAAGUCUUUUACAAAACAAGGACAGCAGAGGAGAUUUGCAAGGACCUCCCUCUGAAACCAGAAAGAAUGGACUCUCACCUGAGAUGAGGACUUGCUUUCUUUACCUCCGGUUCUUUCCCUGUCUUAGUUGGAUGUCCCCAAAAUGGACACAGGCUGUGCCAUUGUGCCAGAAACAUUGUGUUAUCUUUUAUGUUGUUGUUGCUGUUCAACUAUGAUAUGUGACUCCUUUUUUUUAUUAUUAUUUUUUGUUUGAAUGCUUUAAAAAUCUUUUAAGUCUGUGGAUCUGCUGAUGUACAGUGCCUUUGCUGCUAUGGAUCAAAAUCAAGAGAACUAUGUAGAUAAACUUUAUUGUAUAAGUAGAAAAUUACUUAAUUUCAUACUAGAAACGGAUGGAUGCUGCAAGUUGAAAUGGACUGUCCAUUGACAUUCUUAAUGUGGUAGCAGAAAAAAAUGGUGUCUUAAGUGCUUAGUGUUUGAUGUCAUUAACAGUUUUGUAAAACUCUACAGUGUAGAAAGAUUUUGAUACUAAACUAUGCAUUGUACAUAGUUCUAAUGCUUCGUAUUGACCACCAGUACUUCUAUAAUGGUAGACUGUGCAUUCAGACUUUUAAGCAUUAAACAUAAAUAACUUCUAAAAAAAAAAAAAGAAGAAGAAGAAGGGAAUCUCCUCUUUCUGUCUCUGUUGGCUGGACCACUUCCUGCCUGGAGCACUGUUCUUUAUUUGCCUUACUUAUUACACUUACUGGACAGGAAGCUCUUAGCAGGUAAGGAUUGCAUUUGAGUGUGCACACAUGUGUGCAUGGACCUGUGUGGAGGUGAACAUGGGUGGGGGGAGUUAUUCUGCACCUUCUGUGUAGUGCAUCUGCACAUUCCCAGCAGCAGCCACCCUGAAUGCUGUUUAUGGGAAAAGCUGAUAAGCAUUAGAGAACUG